rnacentral:lncRNA from 1 species
CGUGAAGAACCUUUGUGUCUAGCUCAGGGAUUGUAAAGGCACCAGUCAGCACCCUGUCAAAACAGACCACUUUGCUCUCUGUAAAAUGGACCAAUCAGCAGGAUGUGGGUGGGGCCAGAUAAGAGAAUAAAAGCAGGCUGCCCAAGCCAGCAGUGGUAACCCCCUUGGAUCCCCUUCCACACUGUGGGAGGUUUGUUCUUUUGCUCUUUGCAAUAAAGCUUGCUGCUGCUCACUCUUUGGGUCCAGACUGUCUUUAUGAGCUAUAACACUCACCGGGAAGGUCUGCAGCUUCACUCCUGAAGCCAAGGAGACCACGAACCCACCGGGAGGAAGGAACAACUACAGACACGCCGGCUUAAGAGCUGUAGCACUCACUGCGAAGGUCCGCAGCUUCACUCUUGAGCCAGAGACCACGAACCCACCAGAAGGAAGAAACUCCAAACACAUCCGAACAUCAGAAGGAAAAAACUCCAGACACGCCGCCUUUAAGAACUGCAACACUGCGAGGGUCCGCGGCUUCAUUCUUGAAGUCAGUGAGACCAAGAACCCACCAAUUCCAGACACACUACCAAAGGCAGAGGGGAGCUCCUAGACAAAGAUAUUUUGCUUACAAAUGGAACAUAUCAAAUCAAGCUUUUGUGAACUUGAGGGAAGAAACAAAGAAUAUGAAGCCUAAAUGGAAGUGUCAGGAAAUGGUCGCCUUGCGGACAAGGAAACAGCAGCCUGGAAGGCCAGGAGAGGGCAGACUACCCACCUAACCCUCUGCAGAAUUUUGUGUGGACCCUGGAGACCAGAAACUAACUUCUCCUGCAGGUAUAUGUUCCCCCAUGCCGGCCAGAAAGCACAGAGAAGGAACACUUCUCCCUGGGUCCUUAGGAUCGGACAGCUGGCUUUAGUCCCAACCAGUCAUAUCAAUAAUAAAUAUUGCUAUUUUAAUACUAGCAACAAUGAUAUAAAUUAUGGUCAUUAUCCUUUCCUCACAUUUCAAACCCUAAAUCACAUCCUAUGAAACAAAUUAGACAAAGAUAACCAAUAGAGUCCACUUUAAUGUGGGGAUUUUUUUUCAAUGUAUUUAUGUUCUUUAUAUCCUCUGUUUUAGAAAAUAUUUCUUGAAAUAUAAUUUUGCUAUGUCUGUUUCCUUAAUCCUAGAUAUUGUAUAGUCUUUGUAUGUCAAUUUGUGGUGUAACUAAGGCAAUUGAAAAAUACAGUUGACUGAGAAUAACUAAAAUAUUGAUUAAAUACAAUCGGCCUCCUUUUUAGGAAACUGGCCUUUUCUGAGCCAUCCAACAGUUUCUAAAUAGUACAAUAGAUAGAACAAUGAAAAAAAUAAAAAAAAACUUUAAAAAUAGCCCAAAGCCAUGAAUAGUAAAUUAUUUUUUAAAUUCUAUAUAUGUUGGCCCUAGAGUAAUUUUUAAUCUCUUAUUCUGAGAAGACAUUUUUUUUUCUUUGAAAUCAAUGACCUUGGUACUUAGAGCUUGAUAAAUUUUAAGAUGUUUCCCUAUUUUACAUUUUAAAAACUUUACAAUCAUUAGUAUGUCACUCAUGAAUGCUGUAAUAAAAAAAGAGGAAAUAAA